rnacentral:rRNA from 1 species
AGGGUUUGAUCAUGGCUCAGGACGAACGCUGGCGGCGUGCCUAAUACAUGCAAGUCGAGCGGACUUGAUGGAGUGCUUGCACUCCUGAUGGUUAGCGGCGGACGGGUGAGUAACACGUAGGCAACCUGCCCGUAAGACUGGGAUAACUACCAGAAACGGUAGCUAAUACCGGAUAAUUUAUUUCGCCGCAUGGUGAAAUAAUGAAAGGCGGAGCAAUCUGUCACUUACGGAUGGGCCUGCGGCGCAUUAGCUAGUUGGUGGGGUAACGGCUCACCAAGGCGACGAUGCGUAGCCGACCUGAGAGGGUGAACGGCCACACUGGGACUGAGACACGGCCCAGACUCCUACGGGAGGCAGCAGUAGGGAAUCUUCCGCAAUGGACGAAAGUCUGACGGAGCAACGCCGCGUGAGUGAUGAAGGUUUUCGGAUCGUAAAGCUCUGUUGCCAGGGAAGAACGUCCGUUAGAGUAACUGCUAACGGAGUGACGGUACCUGAGAAGAAAGCCCCGGCUAACUACGUGCCAGCAGCCGCGGUAAUACGUAGGGGGCAAGCGUUGUCCGGAAUUAUUGGGCGUAAAGCGCGCGCAGGCGGCUAUUUAAGUCUGGUGUUUAAUCCUGGGGCUCAACUCC